ACGCUGGCGGCACGCUUAACACAUGCAAGUCGAACGAAGAUGUUUCACCGUAGCUUGCUACACCGAGACAUUUUAGUGGCGGACGGGUGAGUAACGCGUGAGGAACCUGCCUUUCAGAGGGGGACAACAGUUGGAAACGACUGCUAAUACCGCAUAAUGCAGCAGUAUCGCAUGGUACAGUUGCCAAAGAUUUAUCGCUGAAAGAUGGCCUCGCGUCUGAUUAGAUAGUUGGUGGGGUAACGGCCUACCAAGGCGACGAUCAGUAGCCGGACUGAGAGGUUGAACGGCCACAUUGGAACUGAGAUACGGUCCAGACUCCUACGGGAGGCAGCAGUGGGGAAUAUUGGGCAAUGGGCGAAAGCCUGACCCAGCGACGCCGCGUGAGGGAAGAAGGUCUUCGGAUUGUAAACCUUAAACAACAGGGACGAAGAAAUGACGGUACCUGUUAGGAAGCCACGGCUAACUACGUG
rnacentral:rRNA from 1 species